GAAGGGGCGAGGAGAGCUAGGAGAGGAGAGCUGGAGGAGAGAUCUUGGAGGACACGGAGCAUGAACCAGACCUAAGAUUUCACAAAAAAGAGGCAUGGGUUCGUUCCACUAUGGCUCAUCUUUGGAGACUGUAAGAAAUCCCAAAGGACGCAGAAGGAGCCAGGUGGAUCCCAGAAAGGCUGGUACGAUUUGCAGGAGUUGUUCCCCAGAAGGAGGAUGUUCCGGCUGCAGACAGUCGUAAAUUCUGCCCUGACUGAGACCAAAAAGCUGCAUUGGACUUAAGCUCCUGACCCGCUUUUGUUUCAUUCUGCUCCUGGGAGAAGAUGUAACCUCUUAUACAAUGGACUGGACUUGACUGUUCUGUUAAUAAGGACAAUUCUCAACAAAAUCAAAAAGAAUAAAAAAAGAGGACUAACUGUGAAACUUUGGUCUGACUCUGGUUUUCAGCAGACCAAAACAAGCUUGCUUCAGAAACUCUUGGGAGGCCCUAUAACUGCCUAUGUAAAUUCUCCUUUUGUUUUGUUGUUUGGAAAUGUUAACAAGAUUCAAACUUUAAUGUUUCUUGCCUUCAAUGUAAACUAACAAACUGUAUUUGUAAGCUUUCAAAUGGUUCUGAUUGCUCGACAGCCUUUUACUAUGGUUCCUGUGAAUGUUUCUCAGACUUGGUAAUUUACACAAGGAGUCAUUUGUUAAGUCACUUUUAUGGAGUAUUAUUUUGGACUUGGCUUGUGAUAGGAGAUGCAAGUUCCUAUCAGUGACAAGUUAAACCUGCCUGAAGGCCUUUUAGAAUGUUAAAGCUGAUCUGAUCUGCAUAAGAUCAAACCCCAGUGUCUACUCUAGCAGAGGUUCGUUGUCAGAGACAGGUAAAGUUUCUCUGGGAUAUG